rnacentral:rRNA from 1 species
UACGAAGGGGGCUAGCGUUGCUCGGAAUUACUGGGCGUAAAGGGCGCGUAGGCGGUUCACACAGUCAGGCGUGAAAUUCCUGGGCUCAACCUGGGGGCUGCGCUUGAUACGUGUGGACUUGAGGACAGGAGAGGCUCGUGGAAUUCCCAGUGUAGAGGUGAAAUUCGUAGAUAUUGGGAAGAACACCGGUGGCGAAGGCGGCGAGCUGGCCUGUAACUGACGCUGAGGCGCGACAGCGUGGGGAGCAAACAGG